GGCACCGGGGCGGGGGCGGGCGCCGCGGGCGGCCGGGGGCUCAGGGCACACCCGCGAGGACGCAGGGCGAGCGGUGGCUUCCCCCAACCCCCUUUUAGGGGGACCCCCGAGGGUGGGGGCGGUCGCCCUCGUGGGAGCUUUUGUAGUGAAGUUAGGGUUUGGCGAAUUUGGGUCCCUUCCUCCCCAGCCCCAUUUUUUAUUCUUUGCGGCGGACGUGGUUCCCCCAAAUCACAGCCCCUUCCCUUAAUACCUAGCCCUGUAUGAUCGAAAGGAGAAAGAUACAUGACCGUGUGUGUGUGUGUGUGUGUGUGUGUGUGUGUGUGUGUAUGAGAGAGAGCGCGCGCGAGAGCAUGCUUGGUUUUCUGUGGUUUGCUUUUUUUGAGGUAUAUGUGUGUUUUGUGUUAUGUGUGUUUUGUAUUUCUUCAUUUUUUGGUCAUUAGUACCGAUGGCUGGCUAGCUGGGACCUGGGUCUCUGCCCUAUCCCAUGCCCCAGCCCCCACCCUCUCGUGGGCACUUGCACGAUUUUCCAUCCCAUCCUUUUUUCCCUUUUAACCCUUUUUGUGUAUCGCCCUUGUGCUAUUGCCCUGCUCACCCCGCCCCCCGCAACUGUCUUUGUAUGACAGUUGCAUACACGGGUUCAAGAUGCUUGGGCGUGUGUGUGUGUGUGUGUGUGUGUGUGUCUGUAUGUAAGUGUGUGUGCAUGUGUGCGAGUGUGCGCGCGCGCCUCGGAGAGUCAGACCUGCGCUGCUGUGCCCCCCUUGGGCCCGGCUGGAGCGGGGCGUCCGGCCCUUGGGUGUUGUGCUGUGUGUGAGGAUGAGGUGGGAAGCUGCCCCCACGCCAGGCCUUUGCCCCGGGCAGCGGUUGACAAAGCAGCGGGCCGGCGCGGGCUUUGUUUUUAACUGUGAUAAAUGGGGUGUGUUUGCACGGUCCCCUUUCCCCACAUCCCCUCUCCCUCACAUUCUGCUACAACAAUAGCUUGAUUUUCCCCUCUUCUCCCCACCUCCACUCCACAUUUCUUUCAUUUUCUUUUAAUAAAAAAUUCCCACCUCCCAAGCAAAUCCGAGAUGCAUUUAAAUUCAUUUUUUUUCUUUUUUGUAUUCUGCCUCUGGACUCACAUUUCUCGUCUUGGAAAUGUUUCUUCUAUCCUCUCCCACUCCACGUCUGCUUAAAUCCCUGCUGGCUCAGGCCCUCCUCCCCCUCUCCCCACUCCCUCACACACAGAAUGAUGUCUUCCCUUGGCCGACCAGGGCUCCUCUACCAAGUCGGGGUGGGGGGUGGGGUCGCAGGGCCAGCGCUUUAGUGCGCCCCAGGGGCCCGAUUGGGCAAGAAAAGGAAAGCCCAGCCCUAUUUUAUCCAGCCCAGCUGUCCCCAGCCCCGCGCCUCUCCCCAGAACCUAAAAGGCAAGCUUGGCCCCCUUAGGCCUGUUUGAACCGCAGUUUUUUGUGUGAUGAUAGAAUGAUGACAUUCUGCAUUUAUCAAAUCUUUUUUUUUCUUCAUUGUGUAGCUCAGUGAAUGGUCAACUCGCUGCUGUGUGCGCUGUGACCCUUCUGCCUCCGCAUUUAGCUGUAUUGUGACACCCUCUUAACCAUUUCCUGUCUCCAUCUGAGGAAGGCAUUGCUAUUUAAGCGGCAGUAUCCCCUAUCUCAGGCCAGCCUAGCCAUGGGGGUGAGGGGGAGUGGGUGUGUGAGGAAGAAAGAGGGGGGCUGGAUACGAUCUCCUUGAAAUGCCACCCCCUCCCUCAAUACACAAUUAUCUCUUAUUACUUGGCAUUUCCUCUUAAAACGGGUGUGGAACAUUACACUAGGCAGAAAUUCAAAAAUGAUUAAGAAGGAUGUUGAGCCUGAAAGUAUAAUUAUCCUGAUUAAAUCAUUACCAUCCUCAUUAAUACCACCAAUCUCUAAAUACCAUUGCAGGAUGCUGAUUCCAUGUUUUGAAAUUCAAAUUGCUCAGCUGCCUUUAAAUUUUAUUUUUAAUACUACCUUCUCCCUCACCUCCCCCCCCCCACAAAAAAAUCCAACAACACAAAUUCUGCCCAUCAGUUAAAGUUUACUUUCAUGGCAAACAUGCCCACAGGAAAUUCAAGGGCUGAGGGGUGAGUUGGUCUGUGGGUAAAAUUUAGCACAAAUGUGAUAAGAGUUCAUGACCUUCCGAUAGAGGAUACUAAUGCUUAACUCAACAAGGUCCUAAACCACAAUCUUCUUGUAAAACUAUUAGAGAGUUUGCCAGCUUAAAUCUGUUCUUUUUAGUUUCCAUUGUAGUAGUGUAGGAUGUAGGCCAUUUCAGAAUAGAUGUAGAGAAAUAACCAUUUUUGUAUCUUCAUCUUGUUUAGCCGAAUACAUUGCACUGUAAAUCCCUGUUAAGUGGAUUCCUUUUGCCUUGGCUUAGAGGCUGCAGCACCCCAUUUUUCAGUUAUCUGGGUGGCUGUCAGUUAGCUUCUUGUCAGCACCCAGGCAUAACUGAGGAUUGCACUUAGUUGGAGGCAAAAAAUGUUAAACAUAUGUAUUUAAAAAAUCUUUGAUGAAAUGACAGUUGCUGCUAUCCCAUAGCCUCUGAAAACUUGGUGCACCAAGGUCCCUGGCUUAAGUGGGAGCUGUGGCCAUCGCUUCUUAAUUGUUUAAUUGUACAAUGUCAAGAGCAUCUUUGGACAUCCGCCCUGGCCCUCAGGGCUGCCCCUUUAACAGCCGGCUCCCUUCUGCUGCUCGCCAGCCAGACCUGCUUGAAAACUGAAACAAAACAGCAGCAAUAAUAAAAGAAUAAGGCCCCUACUUUGAGGGCCCUUCCAAAAUAAAGUCCCAUAUAGCCUCCCCAGACUGCCAUUUGGCAAUCUGAAAACAAAGAGAAAAAAGAAAAGAAAAGAAAGAAAAGAAAAAAGAAUCCCAGCAAAAUGGUUUUCCAUUAAACAGGGGUAGCGUGUUCUGCUGUGCUGAAUUACUUCCUGUUCUUAUUUUGUGGGUAAUUUUUUCUGUAUCAAAUAUCCUUUUGGUUGUGUAUCUUUUUCACCUUUUCUUGUACUAAAACUAAAGCAUGAUCUGUAUUUUUUUACAUCCCCCAGUUGACAAUGUACAGCGCUCGGUUAGAGAUGUUACCCUGCUGAAACGUACUGUGGUCGUGUAGCCCGGGCCAUCUGCUCAUUGUACGCUGCUUUUGUUCUGUUGCCCUUCCGAAGCAUGGUGGGCCCAGCCUUUUUUUUUGUAUCGUGUGCAUGACGACAUUGUUACACACAGAAUCCACUAAUACUAAUAUACAAUCUCUCAAUAAAGAACUAGUUUUCCUAUAUUAA